CUUGGAGCUGACAGAAUUGUGGCAUGGCAGCUUGCAAGUAGAAGAAGUUAUAAUAAGGGAGUGAUAUCACACACACAGACAGACAUUCAGACACUCGACUUCUAACACAAAACUGAAGGCUGAAGGAACAGCAUCUGGCAUCGGUAGACAAGAUUUUUCAAGCACAAGGAAUUUUCUCACAUGAACAGCUGUAGGUCCUUGCAGAAGAUGGGAGAGUGCCAAGCCAAGAUCCUCUCCAUUAGAAGGCAUCCUGAAAGAUAUGAGGGACAACUGGGAUUUGGUUCUCCUCCCAUUUCUAUGGGUAAGUCUGUAGAGGAUUUUCAUGAAAACUAAUGAAAAGAGACCAAAUGCAAAAAUAAUUAACAUGAAAUUACAUAUAUACUGAACUGUGAUAUUCUCACAUCAAGGGUGAAUUUGCUUUGGGAAAACAUGAAUUAGUCAAUCGUGAGUUAUUGGAAUGCAGAUGAGGAUAUAUGGAAGUGCACAGUAUCUAUAUGAAAUCAGACCAGAAGACCUGACAAUCCUUUAAAAAUCUAUGAAUCUUUUAAUUGCCUGAC
rnacentral:lncRNA from 1 species